UACGUAGGGUGCAAGCGUUGUCCGGAAUUAUUGGGCGUAAAGAGCUCGUAGGCGGUUUGUCGCGUCGGCUGUGAAAGCCGUGAGCUCAACUCCGGGUCUGCAGUCGAUACGGGCAGACUUGAGUGUUGCAGGGGAGACUGGAAUUCCUGGUGUAGCGGUGAAAUGCGCAGAUAUCAGGAGGAACACCGGUGGCGAAGGCGGGUCUCUGGGCCAGUACUGACGCUGAGGAGCGAAAGCGUGGGGAGCGAACAGG
rnacentral:rRNA from 1 species